UCAGUUCUGAACAUAUAGCUUCAUUCUAAAGUUUUUAUAGGAUCGCGUAAUUAUUUUCUCUACAAUUGAAUUGAUUUUGGCGAUAUAAUAUCAAAAUUGGCGAUAAUGCUUCAGCUCAAUGGUCGGUGGGAUAGCUUUGGGAGAUACGUAGAUUUUGAUGUUGAUAGAAUUGUAGUCAUUGAAGAUUCAAAAUAUAGUCAAUUGAAUGCCACAAUUGUAGAGCACCUAAUGAUCGAUACUUCUGUAAAAAUCAUCGAGAUCAAAUACACAGUGAGCUAACGUUAUCCUUCAAUGUAAAUUCGGAACGAUAUGGGAGUUCGAGUGAAUAUGGAGAUGAAAAAAGAAAAUAAAAAUCUAAGAAUGUAUCCGCUGUGUAUAACAGUAAGGGAUUUCAAUUUGGAAUACAAUAUGUCGAAUGCGAGCACAAUUACAGGUUUGCUAUAUUUUUAUAGUCCUGAAGUUUUUCAAUUUUCAAGUCUUCUACAAUUUUACUACAAAUUAUCUGCAACUAUACUAUAGAACAAAUGUAGUUCAAUGGUUAUGUCUCUAAAACAAAUUGAAGUGUAACUGUUACACAGUAAUUAAUGUGAUAAAAAUGUAAAUAAUGAUCACAGAACAAAGUAUCUACAAGUAUAAUAUAAAUUUAAUUUCUGUCAAAUACUGAACAACUGAAUAUGCAGAGGUCUGAAUUACUUUACUUUUAAAUAAGUGGAAGUACUUCUGAUUAUCGUAAUACUAACGUGGUACAAUUGUCAAGCAAUUAUAACACAUUUGGAGAAGUAUCAGGAAUAGUUGAUUGAUAUGCCAACAUCCACGACAAUUGUGGAAUAUGAAAGUAUAAUCAUAACAGAACAUACGCCAAAAGUAAUUGAACUAGGCCAAGUUUACCAAGACAAACAAAUAAUUGUCAGUGCAAUAAAGCACUAUGCUGUCAUGAAUAAGUUUCAAUUUAGGGUAAAAAGGUCUAGUGCAAGAAGGUAAGAAUAUUUUAUUUGUCAAAAUCAUAUUGUGUAUAAAAAAUAUGUUGGUGAUAGUUGUACGUGGCACUUUAAGUCCACAAGCAUAAAUUAAUUAUCAUUAUUCAAGGUUCGAAAAUUCAACAGCUUGCACACAUGCUCGUUGAUGGACAACACAUAUAUAUAACAUAAAGCUACUUCCAUGGUAGUUGGCAGCAUGGUCAUGCCAAAAUAUGUGGAUCCUAAGAUAAUAUACACACCAAAAGACAUACAAACUGACAUGUUGUCGGAACAUGGUAUCAACUUAACAUAUAUGCAAGCUUGGAGAGCAAAGGAAAGGCUUUGAAAUUUUUGAGAGGCCAUCCUGUUGAUUCCUACAGUCGCCUGCCGAGUUAUUUGUAUAUUUUGGAGAAAACUUAUUCGGGGUCGGUAGUGAAAUUGCAGAAGACUGAAGAUGAAUGUUUCUUGUAUGCAUUUGUUGCUCUUAAUACGUUCAUCAAGGGUUGGGAGCAUUAUAGGCCAGUUAUAGCUGACGAUGGCACCUUCUUGAAGUCGGCAUAUAGGGGAAUCAUGCUAACAGCUAACACAAUGGAUGCAACAGGUAGCAUAUUACCACUAGCAUGCGCCGUUGUUGAUUCAGAAAAUGACGCAUCGUGGAGGGGGUCUUUUGAGCAAUUCAAACAUGCAUAUGGUGAAAAACUAAAUAUGUGUAUUGUUUCGGACCGAAAUGAGAGUAUAUUGAAGGCAUCAUCUACGGUUUAUACCGGCAUACCGCAUUAUGCUUGCAUGUGGCAUAUUUGGACAAAUGUAAGAUCAAAGUUCAAGAAAGGUCAUUUAAAGUUAAGCGAAUUAUACUUUGCCAUGGCACGAUCAUACACGCUUGAUGAAAUUAAUGAAAGAAUGUCAACGAUUGAAGAGAUCGACACACGUGUUAAAGCAUACCUAUACGAUAUUGAUUCUCAUAAAUGGUCUCGGGUACAUGCUACGGUGAACAUAACAUGGGCGGUGACAUCAAAUAUUGCAGAGUCCUUGAAUGCGGUAACGAAAGAUGCAAGAGAGCUGCCCUUAGUUCAACUAUUAUAGUACAUGAGGACUCUUCUUGAACGUUGGACUAAUAAAAAGUUAUUGAAUGCAAAGGGUACGUUUACAUACCUUAGGAAAAAAUACAACAAAGAGUUGGAGGACAACAGGACAUUAUCGUAGAAGCUGAGAGUGAGGGCUUCAACAGAUUACAUCCAUACUGUGAUAGAUGGUGUGAAGCGCUUUAUUGUUUGCCUUCAAAACAAGAGAUGUAGUUGUAGACAAUUUCUGCUUGAUGAACUUCUUUGUCCACAUGCUUUGGCGGCUUUGAGGCACAAGAACAAGUCUUAUGAAAACUAUUAUUCUCCUUAUUACACGAGGGAGAGCCUUCUGCAGACUUAUGAAAUACCAGUAGACCCUCUACCUGAUGAAAGAAAAUGGGAUGUGCCACAACAUAUAGCAGAAGAAGUUGUACUGCCACCUACUAGAAAAAGACAGCCAGGGAGACCUCAAAAACAAAGAUACAAACCAUAUGAUGAAAUAAAUGUAAAGAAGUACAAAGUUUCAUGUGGCAAUUACGGACAAGAAGGGCAUAACAAAUGAUCUUGUAGGAAUGCUCCCAAAAGAAAAUAAGAAUUGAUGUAGUAUAAAUAAAUUUUUUUUACUGAGUAUUGUUGAUGAUAACCUGUCAUUUAAGAUACAUUUAUUUGUAUUUGUUCUCUUCUGGAC